rnacentral:rRNA from 1 species
CCUACGGGGGGCUGCAGUGGGGAAUAUUGGACAAUGGGGGCAACCCUGAUCCAGCCAUGCCGCGUGUGUGAAGAAGGCCCUCGGGUUGUAAAGCACUUUCAGUGAGGAAGAACGCCUGGUGGUUAAUACCCAUCAGGAAAGACAUCACUCACAGAAGAAGCACCGGCUAACUCCGUGCCAGCAGCCGCGGUAAUACGGAGGGUGCGAGCGUUAAUCGGAAUUACUGGGCGUAAAGCGCGCGUAGGUGGCUUGAUAAGCCGGUUGUGAAAGCCCCGGGCUCAACCUGGGAACGGCAUCCGGAACUGUCAAGCUAGAGUGCAGGAGAGGAAGGUAGAAUUCCCGGUGUAGCGGUGAAAUGCGUAGCGAUCGGGAGGAAUACCAGUGGCGAAGGCGGCCUUCUGGACUGACACUGACACUGAGGUGCGAAAGCGUGGGUAGCAAACAGGAUUAGAUACCCCAGUAGUC